CCGUUAUUGAGAACAAUCACGUCUGAUGGGUAAGAGGCCUGGUCAAGAAGAUCUAACAGUGUGUCAAGAUGAAAUAAGUGUUGGGAAAUAGCUAGCCAAUUUAUGCUACAAGAUACAUGUCUAUAUAAUUGCAUUUAUGUUUUGUGAUUUCCUUUUACAUCAAGAAGAAGUCAGAAAGGAUUAUGUAUGAAAUUGAAUGGGAGAAAAUUGUGAUGUGUGAAGUAGAACAGAUUAGACCCUGAAAUCCUCGCCUCUUGUCCAAGCUUGAAACUUGCACCAGCAGUGUGGUGAGAUUGUUGUCUCUUUUGGAUUCGUUGUCUCUUCAGUGUGCAGUGAAAAGUGCCCCCAGGCUGGAAUCCAGUCCAGAAACAGGCAAAAGAAGGUAGAACUUCAAUUGUUCCUUAGAACAACAUGGACUGGUGUUUUCGAAAAAGCAAAGUGGAAAUGAUCAGGCAGCAGGGACUCUAUGCAGAAAAAAGUAAGAAGCAAAGAAGAAUUUCUCAGAAAAGGAGAUUUGAAGCACAAUUGUCAUCAGUUCAUAGAAUUUUGAAGCCUGACACAGGAACUCUGCACGUUUGACACUCAGAACCCUCGGCUGACGAAGACUCAUCUCAAUACAUGCUUCUGUGAUCAUCAUGGCAGGAGAAGAGAAUACAGUAAAUAAUUUAUCAGCUCUUAUGACUUCCUCUCAGAAUUUACAUACUUAUGCUCAUGGUUGAC
rnacentral:lncRNA from 1 species